rnacentral:lncRNA from 1 species
ACUGAAUCAGAAAUUCUGGGGGUGAAGUCCAUCAAUCUUUGGUUGAACAAAACACAACCAAUCUCACAUUUAUGGAAGUUUCAUAUAUGAAGUCAUAAAAGUCACUAGAAAUAGGCUUUUCAGUCACAGCACCCUCUGUGACAAACGUGUGGAGCACCGCACGACUUCUUCAACCAGCUGGUUUUUCUGGCAUUCGAAUAAAAGUAAAAAUAGAAAACAAAGAGGGAGAAGAAAAGUGACAAGCUGAAACCUGCGAAGAGAAAGAGGACAAGAACCUGUAUGUACCCAGUGGUGUGGAUAAAUCGUUAUGUAUCUGCCUACGCAUUGUCAGAAAUACCAGGCACCUACAAUGACAAAUUGUAAAUAGCCACGUCCAAUAAGUUUAUGCGUAACCUUACCUGACUUUUCCAUGGAACUCCAUUAUAUAACUAGAAGCAUUUCUCCACAAGCGGAAAAAAAAUGGAACCAGAAGAGAAACAAAGCACAUUUGAGCAUACAAUAAAUAAUGAUAUGAUGAAAAGUCAAAGGGAAAUAAAGGACAUUUGAAAGGAAUAAAAAAUCACAGAUGGGGAGAAAUGAACAAGUUGAUCUGGUCUUGAGGGAGGAGGAGGCACAGGAACACAGUAAAGGAACCUAUCUGAGGAGCUGCAGACAUGAACCAACAAAGGUCAAACCCCACCUGGAAAAUGAAUUGUGUCCAAAUGAGACCCCUUUAAUGACAGGAUUUGAAACAAUCUCAUUAUGAAACAAUUGCAGUCAAUGGGAAUCCUGAGUCUUCAAGGAAGUAAAAAGAAAAAAAAAUCUCUGUUAUCCUCACAUAUUUAAAGAUUCUCAUAUAAAAGCUUCUCCGAAGAGAACAGCUUGUCCUGUUUAGCUUCAAAGAAGAGAAUGAGGAGGAAGGUCGAGGGAAAAUUACAGAAAAGCAGACUUUGACUUGACACGUGGAAGGACUUCUCACUAAUGCUAUUCCCAAAUACAAUGAGUUGUUUCCGUGAUUGGAGGACUUGAAGAUGUAUAAGUUAUCCACAGGGAUGUUGCAGAGGAAAUUUGACCAUCAUAUGGGUGAAUUAACUGAUAUCUAUGAUCUUUAUUUCUCCUGAGAGUCCAUAAAAGUGAGAUAAUUGUUUGGAAAUUUGACGUAUACCUCUUGGAAUCUGAGGAGCAUGAAGAUCAGUGUAUGACUCUUGCCUGAAAUCAAGGAGAAAGGAAAACCCUGUCAAUGGCACAAAUUUCCAAAGUUUGGGAUGACAAGGACAUGUGAGUUUUUCGCCAGAAGAGCCUGAAGCAAUACUGCAAGUGGGUGCUUUGGUACUGCUUUGAAGCAUCUUUCCAGACUCUGCAGUAGCCAAGGCCUGUGACUCCAGUCCCUGAGAAAGUACCAUCAGGAGCAAUACGUAAGCUUUUCAGGGACAAAGAACCUUGUCCUCUUAAUCUGGAUUCACAAUUCACAAUUAUACCCCUAGCCUGCCCAACGCCUUUUUCUCAGUCUCUGAGAAGUAUUGACUCUCUUUUACCUAAGAGCAGGAGUCGAUGUACAGACAAGAUUGAGAGUAAGAAAACUGGCUGAUGAAAGAGGUAUAUGAGAAAAAUAUGUCUGAC